CUUGUUUAAAUCUGCAAAAAAAUAGAUCAUCUUCUACCUCAACAGCCACUUCCAUGUCUUCUUAAUUGGCUGAAACGAGAGCUUGGGAAGAGAGUUGGUGAGCCUGAAAACCCAGAAAGCAAGUUCUUUACUUUUUCCAACUAUGGAAAAACCUCUCUUCCUUCAUGGGGUUAUAUAAACAGAGAUAAUAUCGAGAGAAAUGAGUGAGUUUUUCAAUUUUUUUCUUUUUUAACUGU
rnacentral:lncRNA from 1 species